rnacentral:rRNA from 1 species
CCAAAAACAUAGCCCUCAAAACAAUUGAAGGUGAAACCUGCCCAAUGAUUUAAUACACUAAAUUUAAAAAUUUAAUAAAAAAAAAUUAAAUGGCUGCAGUAACUAUGACUGUAAAAAUGUAGCAUAAUAAUUCGCCACUUAAUUAGUGGAUAGUAUGAACGGUUUAACGAAAAUUCCACUGUCUUAUAUAAUAAAAAAAAAAUUUAAAUCAUAGUUAAGAUGCUAUGUAAAACUGUAAGACGAAAAGACCCUAUAAAGCUUAACUAUAUUUCUUAAUAAUUUAAUAAAAAAAAACUUAAAAAAAUUAUUUAUUAAGAUUUGGUAGUUUCAUUGGGGCGAUGAUCUCUAAAAAUAAACAGAGAUAAACCUAUAUAAUAAUAAAAUUUACUGUAUAAUUAAUAAAUUUAACAGUUACAAAGUAGGGUAUAAUGACCCAUUAAUUUUAUAAAAAGAAUUAAUGAUCAAUAAAUAAAAGCUACUUUAGGGAUAACAGGAUAAUAAUUUCUUAGAGACCCAAUCGAAGAAAAAGUUUAUCACCUCGAUGUUGAAUUAAGAUAACCUAAUGACGCAGCAGUAAUUAAAGGUAGGUC